rnacentral:rRNA from 1 species
CAGUCGCCGCGGGAAUACGGAGGGAGCUAGCGUUGUUCGGAAUUACUGGGCGUAAAGCGCACGUAGGCGGUUACUCAAGUCAGAGGUGAAAGCCCGGGGCUCAACCCCGGAACUGCCUUUGAAACUAGGUGACUAGAAUCUUGGAGAGGUCAGUGGAAUUCCGAGUGUAGAGGUGAAAUUCGUAGAUAUUCGGAAGAACACCAGUGGCGAAGGCGACUGACUGGACAAGUAUUGACGCUGAGGUGCGAAAGCGUGGGGAGCAAACAGAAUUAGAUACCCGGGUAGUCCCUGUCUCUUAUAC